rnacentral:misc_RNA from 1 species
AACCUUAUGGACCUGCGGGCGUAUACCUGCGGAGGGAUCAUUACUGAGUGAGGGCUCACGCCCGACCUCCAACCCUUUGUGAACCAAACUUGUUGCUUCGGGGGCGACCCUGCCGACGACUCCGUCGCCGGGCGCCCCCGGAGGUCUUCUAAACACUGCAUCUUUGCGUCGGAGUUUAAACAAAUUAAACAAAACUUUCAACAAUGGAUCU